CUCAGCCUAUAUCCCUCCUACACUUGUGAGUCAGUAGCAUACUUCUUAUGAUCCGAGGAGGGGCAUUAGAUAAAGAUUAUAGGGAAAAUCCAUGCCAUUGCUAAAAAGCUACUUCUUGACGUAAAUUCACAGCAGAGGCAGCAUCCCCUUUGCAUGCUGAACUUUCAUUAUGAUACUACAGAGACUGAAUCGUAGAACUUCCUUGACGCAACACAACAUGUCAUGCUGUGAUUUCCAAUGAAAAGCAACUGGAAUUAGACCAUGCUUACGUAGAAGGUAUUCAAGUAAAAAGGGGAUACUGGAAGACUGGUGUUAUACACUCAAGGCAUGGGAUUGGAGCCUUACAUUAGUGAGCAAAGUCAUCUUGGGCCAAUACUCCAUGUCCCACUGAAGUUACUGAAAACGAAGAAGCAAAUGGCUUCUCAUUUGUCACAAAGAUGGGAAUACUAUAGACUUUAACUACUACAUUUUAAUCUUUUACCAUAUAAUUUAAUUAUGUCAAUAAUGGAGAUUUUUGUUUCCCCCCCAGAGAAAGCACAGAAGGCUAAGCUGUCAUUCAUUCUGAUUUUUAAAAUAAUAUAAAUUGAGGAAAGAAAAAGAGUAAUUUUAUUUUGCAAAAUGUAUUUCCAAUCUAUUGUUUUUGCAUGUCAUCUUCCUCACAGUUUUUCUAAAACUUAAUUCGUAUUCACUUACAUGUUGCUUUGAUUUUAGAGUCUUUUUUUUCAACCAUAGCUUUUUGUGUCUUUUGUUCUCCAACAUUUUGCCAAUAACAGACAACCAUAUUCUGCCACCUUCACUCACAUGUAAUAAUCUGAUAUGCAUAUGCACUCAAUCAUUCUAGAAUCACUUGCAGUAUAAAGAAUAAUGGAGAUGGAAUUUCAAAAAUUGUAGAUGGAUUUGGAAAAUAUUCAGAUAAUGUGAAAAAAAAACCCUUGAAAAAUAAACUUUAGACUAUCUGAGACA
rnacentral:lncRNA from 1 species